GAUGAACGCUAGCUACAGGCUUAACACAUGCCAGUCGCGGGGCAGCAUGGGGGUUGCUUGCCAUCCCCGAUGGCGACCGGCGCACGGGUGAGUAACGCGUAUCCAACCUGCCCUUCACCACGGGAUAACCCGGCGAAAGUCGGACUAAUACCGUAUGUUGUCCAUUGACGGCAUCCGAUUUGGACGAAAGGCUUGGCGGUGAGGGAUGGGGAUGCGUCCGAUUAGCCUGACGGCGGGGUAACGGCCCACCGUGGCUACGAUCGGUAGGGGUUCUGAGAGGAAGGUCCCCCACACUGGAACUGAGACACGGUCCAGACUGCUACGGGAGGCAGCAGUGAGGAAGAUUGGUCAAUGGGCGUAAGCCUGAACCAGCCAAGUAGCGUGCAGGAGGACGGCCCUAGGGGUUGUAAACUGCUUUUAUGCGGGGAUAAAGUGGCCCACGUGUGGGCUUUUGCAGGUACCGCAUGAAUAAGGACCGGCUAAUUCCGUG
rnacentral:rRNA from 1 species